GGCGCUGUAGCUCAAGUGGUAGAGCACUUGCCUUGAGCUGAAGAGCUGGGUUCAAUUCCUCAGCACCA
rnacentral:tRNA from 1 species